CUUUCCAAUGGAACAUGAACACAACAUUGCACAGAGUAGAUAGGAGAGAAGAAGCUGCUGGCUUUAAAGAUGGAAGAAUGGGCCACAAGCCAAGGAAUGCAAGAAGCCUCUGGAAAAUGCAAGCUGGAAAACAGAAGGAGAUAGAUUUUCCCCUGAAGUCUUCAGAAGAAAUGCAGUGCUGCCAACACCUUAAUUUUAGACUUCUGACCUCCAGAACUAUAAGAGAAUAAAACUUAACGUUUUAAGCCA